rnacentral:rRNA from 1 species
UCUUGGUCAUUUAGAGGAAGUAAAAGUCGUAACAAGGUCUCCGUUGGUGAACCAGCGGAGGGAUCAUUACAGAGUUGCAAAACUCCCUAAACCAUUGUGAACGUUACCUAAACCGUUGCUUCGGCGGGCGGCCCGGGUCCUUCCCGGCGCCCAUCGGCCCUCGCGGGCGCCCGCCGGAGGUAAACCAAACUAUUGCAUUGUAUGGCCUCUCUGAGUCUUCUGUACUGAAUAAGUCAAAACUUUCAACAACGGAUCUCUUGGUUCUGGCAUCGAUGAAGAACGCAGCGAAAUGCGAUAAGUAAUGUGAAUUGCAGAAUUCAGUGAAUCAUCGAAUCUUUGAACGCACAUUGCGCCCGCCAGUAUUCUGGCGGGCAUGCCUGUUCGAGCGUCAUUUCAACCAUCAAGCCCCGGGCUUGUGUUGGGACCUGCGGCUGCCGCAGGCCCUGAAAUGCAGUGGCGGGCUCGCUGUCACUCCGAGCGUAGUAGUUACAUCUCGCUCUGGGCGUGCUGCGGGUUCCGGCCGUUAAAAGCCUUAUUUACCCAAGGUUGACCUCGGAUCAGGUAGGAAGACCCGCUGAACUUAAGCAUAUCAAUAAGCGGAGGAA